UUUUCACAGUUGGAUCUGAAUUCGCUUCGUCGAAAGAAAAGAUCCAAGAUGGAAGAAAACUUCGGUUUUCCUCCGGGAGUGAACAGUCUUCCAGUUGGGUCUGGCACAUAGGACAGGAUCCAGAUUGGAGUCUUGUUGCUUUUCCCAUGACGAUAGGUCCCUUACUGAGAUGUAUCAAUUGCCCGUUCAAGUUACUAUAAGUACUCCAGAUGUAAAAGAAUUUAAAAAGAAACAUUUUCUUUCAGCAGUUUUUGCUUAUUGGAAAAUAAAAAGUGCGCAUCGCGGUGGAAUAAGGCGCUCGUCGAAAUGAAGAAAAUAUUGAAGAAUAUUUUUACCUACUGCAGGGCAAUAAUUAUCUGGGUUUUUUCCCCAACACAUUUUAUGUUCUUUUCAAAGCUCAUUUUUUUCUGAAGAUCGUUGAUCAGAGACACGAAAAAGUAAAUAAGUUGCAGUUUCCUAGGAGACUCGAGCUUGGAAGUCAGUAAACUUUGGCAGACAUGUUCUCGUUAAUUUUACCUCUGACAACAGGUGAUAUCAACCUCCUUCAAUCUCAAAUAUCGCAACUUCUAUUCAAGGAAGACGUGAGGGGAAGGGGGGGGGGGUUCAUGGUUCAUCAAAAGCGAAGAAAACGAAGAAUGAUCAACAUAAUAAUGUCAUUAACUCUAUUUGCUCCGCCCGGAAAGUGAGAAGCGCCAGAUUCUACCGCGUUGUGACACAAUAAAUCGUCUUCAGGUGU